GGUUGCUGGGAUUUGAACUCAGGACCUCUGAAAGAGCAGUCAGUGCUCUAAACACUAAGCCAUCUCUCAAGCACAAGUGUUGGGUCUUUUAACAUAAAGAUUUUAGGAGGGCACAGGUCAGCCCAUCACACACUUCUAACAAGAAAACAUUCUUUUCCACACUGAAAGUAAGCAGUUACAUCAUAAUGACAUGGUGAGUAUGCGCCAGAAUGGUCUGCAGCUGCUGCUAUGGCUGCAUGUUUCCCUUGUAAAGCUCUUUUUGUAUAAACUGGAAAAUAUCACCUGGAGAAUAUCACCGGGGAUGUGUAAGAGCAACUCAGAUGCCAGAGGACGAUGACACCACAACCACAGGAAGGACAGGCUGGAGAACUGGAGCCACCACAAAGGAUGAUCACCAGCCUUCUUCUCUAACGCUUCUCACUCUGUGGAGCUCUCCUCAUAGACACUAGGGGACUUGAGGAGCAGGUCUCAAGUCCAAGUGGAGAUGAGCAAUAAACAUAAUUAAUCUGAUAUUAAACUUCUCUAACAGUCAAAGGA